ACCAAGAAUGUUUUUGAUUUGCGCUAUUGCGCUAUUGCGCAUGCGAAAUUUUUGUAAACCUACUUUUGGAUCAUCCAAAUUAAACUUUUUCAGAUAAUGCUCAAUAUCGCUGAUAUACCAAUUCAUUUUUUACAAAUUCUUAAAUAUUUUUGAUAGUAGAGUGAAAGAAGACAGCUCUUCCAUCGCUUUUAAACAUUUUUUAACCAAUAUGCGUGUCCAAAUAGUAGUUGUAAUCUACUAGACCAAACCACAGAUGAUGAAGAUUUAACUCCAACUUUUGGAUUUUCACAUAUUUUAUAUUUUAAAUAAUACUUUUUAAUUUGUUUAAAACACUAGCAUUACAAAAGUUUAAUAUAGUUUUUAGUUUUAGUUUUUAAUUUUUUAUAAAACUUUUAAGAUUUUAUUUACAGUUUUUGUUUUAUUAAAGUUAUUUAGUUGUAUCAUUGCUUAUGAUAGUUUAAACAUGUAUAAAUAUUUUUGUUGUUUUUGUUUCUUAGUAUGCUUGUUAGGCAGGGCAACCAUAUUGUUGGGUGAACUUUUUUUUUAAUGUUUUGCUAAAGUUAAUUAGUUAAUAUUAUAGUAGAUUAUAGUAAAAAAAGUAAUUAUAUUAGGUGAUAUUUCUCUUUUACUGACUUAAAUUUAAAAUAUACAAAGUAAAGGCAUAAAGAUCAAAGAGUAAACAUUUAGUUAAUAAAUUGUUCAAAUUAAAAGUAAUUUAUGCAAAAGCACGUUUCAAAAAGAUGUUUUUAGAUUUAGUGCUGUAUUAGUUAAAGAUUUCAUUAGCAUUGCAAUAUGGCGCUUAAAGUUUUGAUUUCUUUGUAUAAUCUGUUUAUCAUAGAUAUAGGUUAUAAAUUUUAUAGCUUUUAUAGGUUAUGAAAUUUAUAAUAGAUGUAGGUUAUAAUAAAUUAUAAUGAAAUUUAUAGGUUAAGCUUAAAUUGUGAAAGUUUUAUUUAAACAUUAAUUCAAUGAAGUGAUUUAUUCAAAAUUGAUUUUCUAUAAAUCUGUUUAAGUUGAAUUUUAUAGUUUUUAUAGUUCAAUUUUAGUAUUAGACAGUUUUUUAAUAUAUAAAGUAAUGGAAACAUCUGCUAACGAUGGUAAGUGUUGAUUAAAUAAAGUAUUGUAGUUUAUAACUUUUUAGUUUAUGUUUAGUAGAAAUUUAUAUGCAUAUCUUUAUCAUUUGAUAGUUUAUUUUAAGUUAAAACUUUACUUUUUUUAGCAUCAGACCAGAGAUUUGCACUAAUAUUGUCAGAAUUAGCCGCUUUAAGAGCAGAAUUAAACAAAGGUAUUGUUAUUAAUAUAAUUAUUUUGUUUUUUAGAGAGAAAUAGUUAAGGUCGUCAUUUUUGGGUUCUUAUCACAUUUUAAGUAUCCACUUUAUAUUUUGAUAAAAAGGAUAAUAAAAAAAAUGAUUGUGUAUCUUUCUACGAAAAAUAUGUUGCCUGACAAUUUAUGCAC